GUGUCAGCAGCCGCGGUAACACGGGGGGAGCAAGCGUUGUUCGGAAUCACUGGGCGUAAAGGGCGUCUAGGCGGUUGGAUAAGUGGGAUGUGAAAUGCCCCGGCUCACCCGGGGACCGGCAUCCCAAACUGUUCGACUUGAGUAUGGGAGAGGAUGUGGGAAUUCCUGGUGUAGCGGUGAAAUGCGUAGAUAUCAGGAGGAACACCGGUGGCGAAGGCGCACAUCUGGCCCAAUACUGACGCUAAAGCGCGAAAGCUAGGGGAGCAAACGGGAUUAGAUACCCCUGUAGUCC
rnacentral:rRNA from 1 species